rnacentral:hammerhead_ribozyme from 1 species
AUCUUGCUGACAAGUCCCAAAUAGGAUGAAACGUGAGUCCUGGAU